GAAGGGAUAAGCGCUGAAAGCAUCUAAGCGCGAAGCCCCCCUCAAGAUAAGACUUCCCACACGGUCAACGUGGUAAGACCCCCUGUAGACGACAGGGUUGAUAGGCUGGAGGUGUACGUGCCGUGAGGCAUUCAGCUGACCAGUACUAAUCGGUCGAGGGCUUAUCCUA
rnacentral:rRNA from 1 species